rnacentral:misc_RNA from 1 species
AACGCACCUUGCGCCCUUUGGUAAUCCGAGGGGCAUGCCUGUUUGAGUGUCUUGAAGCUCUCAAACCUUUGCUUGAUUGUGAAGGUUUGGAUUUGGGUGUCUUUUUUUUGCCGGUCGCAAGAUCGGCUCACCCUAAAUGCAUUAGCUGGCUUUUGGGUCCGCGACUCGGUGUGAUAAUUGUCACUCGCCGUCAGCGGGCUUGCUAAGGAAGCUGCUUCCAGUCGCCCUCCCACGAGGGCAACCGUCUAAGUGUUUGACCUCAAAUCAGGUAGGACUACCCGCUGAACUUAA